GAAGGUAUAGCUCAGUGGUACAGCACAUGCUUAGCAUGCACGAGGUCCUGGAUUCAAUCCCUGGUAUCUCCA
rnacentral:tRNA from 1 species